UGGGUCUGACUUAACUAAGGAAUGGGACCAAUAACUGUUAGGUGAGGUCUACAUGACUUAGAGACCAAGAAGCACUGCAACAUGCUUGAGAAACAUUGUACAAGAGAUGUACACUCAUCCAUUUAUAUGUCAUCAAUAACUGUUAGGUGAGGUGGCAUAUAAAUCGGUGGGACCGCAGUACCCACUAGAAAUCCUAGUCGUG
rnacentral:lncRNA from 1 species